rnacentral:rRNA from 1 species
UACGGGGGGGGCAAGCGUUGUUCGGAAUUACUGGGCGUAAAGGGUUCGUAGGUGGCCAACUAAGUCAGACGUGAAAUCCCUCAGCUUAACUGGGGAACUGCGUCUGAUACUGGUUGGCUUGAGUGCAGGAGAGGAACGCGGAAUUCCAGGUGUAGCGGUGAAAUGCGUAGAUAUCUGGAGGAACACCGGUGGCGAAGGCGGCGUUCUGGGCAGUUGCUGACACUGAGGCGCGACAGCGUGGGGAGCAAACAGG